rnacentral:rRNA from 1 species
CGGGGUGGAGGUAACGCGUGGGUAACCGUGCCUGUACAGGGGAGUAACAGUUGGAAACGGCUGCUAAUACCGCAUAAGCGCACGGCAUCGCAUGAUGCAGUGUGAAAAACUCCGGUGGUAUAAGAUGGACCCGCGUCGGAUUAGCUAGUUGGUGAGGUAACGGCCCACCAAGGCGACGAUCCAUAGCCGACCUGAGAGGGUGACCGGCCACAUUGGGACUGAGACACGGCCCAA